GGGGGAGGGAGCAGGGAGACAAGGAAAUUCUGUCACCGCCGUUAAUACGCACGUGGAGCUGGUGUGAGAGCGGACUGGCUUUAAGGAAGAGCUGUGUGCUUGCACACACAGGCCGCUGGUGACACAGGAGCGAGUAACGGGAUGGACAGCCCACAGAGAGCCCUGUGGCGCAGGUCCAGCACGCCACCCUGGGCGUGCCCUUCCAGGGAGCCCUGGGUUCAAACCCUGCCUCCGCCAAUCUUCAGACCCAGAACCCCAGGAGAGGGAGGGGAGGCGCCGCUGAGGACGUGUGCACCUGGGAGGGCGUCAUCACCCCGUUCUCCAUCUGCAAGAAGUGGCCGCGCACCGCCCACCCCAAACGAUACUGACUCCCAACAUUCGGAUCGCACUGGGAGAUGCCUCAGCAUCAUCUUGGAAAGCAAGCUGGACAGGAUGGAGCGCUAGCCAGUCGGGGCUGAGGAGGAGGAGGAAGAGGAGGCAGGUGCAGAGGGUGUGCG